GAGUUUGAUCCUGGCUCAGGAUGAACGCUAGCGGCAGGCUUAACACAUGCAAGUCGAGGGGUAACGGGGAAGCUUGCUUCCGCCGACGACCGGCGCACGGGUGCGUAACGCGUAUACAAUCUACCUUAUACUGGGGUAUAGCCUUUAGAAAUGAAGAUUAACCCCCCAUAGUCUCUUAGAGUGGCAUCACUUCUAGAGUAAAGGUUACGGUAUAAGAUGAGUAUGCGUUCUAUUAGUUUGUUGGUGUGGUAACGGCACACCAAGACUACGAUAGAUAGGGGCCCUGAGAGGGGGAUCCCCCACACUGGUACUGAGACACGGACCAGACUCCUACGGGAGGCAGCAGUGAGGAAUAUUGGACAAUGGAGGCAACUCUGAUCCAGCCAUGCCGCGUGCAGGAAGACUGCCCUAUGGGUUGUAAACUGCUUUUAUACAGGAAGAAACACCUCUACGUGUAGAGGCUUGACGGUACUGUAAGAAUAAGGAUCGGCUAACUCCGUGCCAGCAGCCGCGGUAAUACGGAGGAUCCAAGCGUUAUCCGGAAUCAUUGGGUUUAAAGGGUCCGUAGGUGAUAAUUAAGUCAGAGGUGAAAUCUUGCAGCUCAACUGUAAAAUUGCCUUUGAAACUGGUUAUCUUGAGUUAUUAUGAAGUAGUUAGAAUAUGUAGUGUAGCGGUGAAAUGCAUAGAUAUUACAUAGAUACCCAAUUGCGAAGGCAGAUUACUAAUAAUCAACUGACACUGAUGGACGAAAGCGUGGGUAGCGAACAGGAUUAGAUACCCUGGUAGUCCACGCCGUAAACGAUGGUUACUAGCUGUUUGGACUUCGGUCUGAGUGGCUAAGCGAAAGUGAUAAGUAACCCACCUGGGGAGUACGUUCGCAAGAAUGAAACUCAAAGGAAUUGACGGGGGCCCGCACAAGCGGUGGAGCAUGUGGUUUAAUUCGAUGAUACGCGAGGAACCUUACCAGGGCUUAAAUGUAAGUUGCAUUAGUUAGAGAUAGCUAUUUCUUCGGACCACUUACAAGGUGCUGCAUGGUUGUCGUCAGCUCGUGCCGUGAGGUGUCAGGUUAAGUCCUAUAACGAGCGCAACCCCUGUUGUUAGUUGCCAGCGAGUCAUGUCGGGAACUCUAGCAAGACUGCCAGUGCAAACUGUGAGGAAGGUGGGGAUGACGUCAAAUCAUCACGGCCCUUACGUCCUGGGCUACACACGUGCUACAAUGGUAGGUACAGAGAGCAGCCACUGCGCGAGCAGGAGCGAAUCUAUAAAACCUAUCACAGUUCGGAUCGGAGUCUGCAACUCGACUCCGUGAAGCUGGAAUCGCUAGUAAUCGGAUAUCAGCCAUGAUCCGGUGAAUACGUUCCCGGGCCUUGUACACACCGCCCGUCAAGCCAUGGAAGUUGGAAGUGCCUGAAGUCCGUCACCGUAAGGAGCGGCCUAGGGUAAAGUCGAUAACUAGGGCUAAGUCGUAACAAGGUAACC
rnacentral:rRNA from 1 species